CAAUAGCGUAUAUUUAAGUUGUUGCAGUUAAAAAGCUCGUAGUUGGAUUUCGGGUGGGACGCAGCGGUCUCGCAUUGCGUUUGUACUGCUGCAGCCCUCCUUCUUGCCGGGGGCGGCCUCUCGGACUUCACUGUCUGGGGGUCAGAAUCGGCGAUGUUACUUUGAGUAAAUUAGAGUGUUCAAAGCAAGCUUACGCUCUGAAUAUAAUAGCAUGGGAUAACACGACAGGACUCUGGCCUAUCGUGUUGGUCUAUAGGACCAGAGUAAUGAUUAAGAGGUACAGUCGGGGGCAUUCGUAUUCCGUUGUCAGAGGUGAAAUUCUUGGAUUUACGGAAGACGAACAUCUGCGAAAGCAUUUGCCAAGGAUGUUUUCAUUGA
rnacentral:rRNA from 1 species